rnacentral:lncRNA from 1 species
GAUUCCCCAGCAGAAGACGCGCUCGGGAAGUGCCUCAGCGCUCACCGCCGAACGCUGCGAGGAGAGGGGAACAGCUGGGGGCGGCGGCGAACAUCGAGGGGGAUCGGAGGGUGGGGUCUAGCAGCAAGUCGGAAGGAGGCCUGAUCCUCGCUCUAAGAAGGGGAGCUUGGGGGCCACAGGUAAGGCCCCGCCCCCUUCGCCCGCACCUGGAGGAAGGUACCGGGGGCUGAGCUCCGGCGCCCACCGG